GAAUAAAAUAAAGUGGCCCAUCAAGUAUUCAGCCCAAGUUUAUUACCACAGUGGACUCGGGUUAUAAUUACCAACAGAGGAGAGAAUAACUAUAAGUUAUUUUGAUGUAAAAAGCAUAUUAUCCUAAGCCAACAUAAUAACACAGUUUUUAUGAAGCACAAUAAUUACACUGAAGACUCACAGAAGUGCAUUUUUCUAAAAGAAGGAGAUUCUCAUACAGAAACAGAUUAACAGAAACAGAAACAGCAACACUAGAGAACAGCAAAAUAGUAACAUUUCAAGAAAAUAUAUACACCUUCACAGUAUGUGAUGGUAUCCACUUACUGUCUACUGCCUCCAUAACUCCUAAAGUCUUCUGAAGAUUUAUUAAUGCUUUGAAUAUAUGAGCCACCGUUUCUUUUCACAGCCUUUUCACAACUGGGAAUUCUUUAGAGAAAGGCAAUCUUACUUCAUUUACUUACUUCAUCAGUAAUGCCAUUACUAUGCCUACUUAAGAAGAAAAUAUAUCAUGUGGCAGAGGACUAGAAAGAAAAAACAACAACAAAAGGCUGUGAAGAUUUGAUCAUAUGCCUACGUGUGUGGUGAAUACAAUAUUUCUUUAAUCGCAAUCAGGAAUAUAAAUCUUAUUUUGAUGCUAUGACAUAAUAAAGUGCAUUAUUUUCCUGAAA